UAACCCAUGCUGCAAGGCAUGGCUGAACCCACAGAAGUCAGUCUGGACCAUAGUACCAGAGAAGUCGGUGAAAGUCGACAGAGGGAAGGGU
rfam:Human gut metagenome DNA, contig sequence: F2-X_020238.